rnacentral:lncRNA from 1 species
UCAAACGACUCAUUUUUAGGCCUAAUUUUCGGAUCUAGCCCAUAAUUCCUAGUCUCAUACCCCUUAACCUAAAAACCCCUAUAAAACAAACAAGACCCCUAAAAUAUAGGCCUAGACCUAAAACCUAAUACACAGACAUAGGGAGCCACUUUUCUUCUGGUUUUUGACUAACCUAGAGAAAAAAAAUAAAAGAGGUGAUCUUCUCUAACUUUUAUGGGGAAUCAGCUUAUUCUGAUAAGAUCAAACUCACCCCCCUGAUCGAUCAUCCUCUUAUAUAAAGAAGAAGCAUCCAGUUUUGAUGGUUGCUGCUGAACACCAAACGACCAGACCCCCAUGAGCUUCUUCUUCAUGAAGCUCUAAGAAAAAACCUAGAUCUAGAAGACCAGAACACCCCUUCCAGCCAUCUCUCUCUUUUUCUAUCUCACCCUAUCGCCAGCGACGAUUGCUGCUUCCCUAUCCCCGCCUUCUUCCCCCUCUACUAUCACUGUUUCGCCGGAGUCGCACCCUCGAUGAUGAGCGAACAAGAUUCUGCAAUUUCCUUAGUAUACCAACAUGUUUAUCGGUCAUGUUGCUAAGGUUUAAAGUUCCAAAACCCAGCAAAAGCAGUAAAAAAAAACAUGCCCUCCUCAACCCGAGUCCCAGCCCUUUUCCCGUUUCACGAGAGUUUUCAAGAGGUCCUGCUUGAGGUCUUUUUGUUGAGUUCUAGCGUAUGUGUUGGUGAUUACAAAUAAGUUCUUGAAACUUUUGAGAUUCCGAGUAAACUCAGAGGUUGCCGGUGAGGUUCCGUCAACCGUUUCGACUGUGGUCUAGUCUUCCUUCUAAAGUUUGGUUGCUAAUUUGGGAUUUCCAUCUCGUCUGUUGGCUGUUUCGUGUAAGAUUUAAUUGGAAAUUCUUAUUAAUACAAAAGAGAGGAUCUUUGUUGCUCGAGGUCCAAUUCUAAACUCUUGUUCGUUCUUUAAUUUUCAAAUUGUAUUUGUGUCAGUGUUUAUUAUAAUAGUUGUUUGCCUUUGUGUUUGAUCUUGUCUUCUUUGAGGAAUUGAUGUUGCUCAUACUAGGGAAGUUGGCUGACCAUGUUAUUUAAUUAUGUGUCUAGUAAAGAAAUCCAUUAUCUGAAAGCAUCUUGAUUUUCAUGAUCUAUUAGUUUAGUUAAAAGCAACAAUCGAAUCGUGUGAGGGCUAAUGGAAAUUAUUUGAGGUUUGGGAUAUUGUUGGGUUACGAGAUUUGAUAAAAAAAACUUACUUGGAAUGUUUAACAGAAUUGUAUGCUUUUGGGCUUAGAAAAUUCUUCAGCUCUCAUCUUUGUUUGUUUAAUUGUCCACCGUAGCUUGCUUUAGGCGCGAUUAUUAAAUAAAUCAUGGUGACUAUGGGUACGGUUCUCAUGAUGUAGUUGUGAUUGUUAAAAUCCGGGUGUACAAUUCAUGUGAUCCGGCUCCAAUUUCCAAAAAUGUUAAAUAAAACGUGUCGUGAACCGCGGGUGCAUUUCAUGCAGCGUGGCUUACGAUAUAUUUUAAAUAACCUUGAUUAUUCCUAAAAAUACUAAAAGCGGUUUUAAAGUUAAAAAAUGCACAUAGGUUUAAAAGUGUUUUAAAAUCAGAUAAUUAGGCCAAUAAUUAUAGUUGAGCGACCGUGCUGGAACCACGAAACCUGGGAAUGCUUAACACCUUCUCCCUGGUUAACAGAAUUCCUUACUCGGAUUUCUGUGUUCAUGGACCAUAAUUAGAGUCAAAUAUUCCUCGAUUCGGGAUUCUAAACCGGUGACUUAGGACACCAUAAAUUAUCCCAAGUUGCGCCCCUGAAUAAAUAAAUAAAUCCCAUUUCGAUCAUCACUUUAAUUGGAAAAAACUCCCUAUACCCUUUCUGGGGGUAGUAAAAAUGAGGUGUGAUAGCCAGCACCCGAUGCCAUACUCGGUCCAAGCAUACCACUUAUAACUAUAAACUCUAUAGGGGUAACCCUCAACUUACGCCGAUUAGGCCAUAUUCUGAAUCAUAUGAAAAUAUCGUCUCUCUCAUCUAAGGGCUUAACAGUAACGACCCGGCCGGUUGUUUCAUGAGUUACCACUCCAUUUCUCCCAUUUCUGCUUCUUAUUGCCUUGUUCAGCUAUAUUUUAUGUUAUCGGAUUGGUUGUCUCGUGUUCGGAGAGAUUUUGGUAAGGUUUGAGGCACUUAGUCUCUUUUGAGUAAGCUUGAGUUGGAAAAGUCAACUGGAUGUUGACUUAUCUGAUAAAGGAAUUGGAUAUGAGUUUCGAUGGUUCAGAUAGCUUCGGAAGGUGAUUUGGGACUUAGGAGCAUGAUCAGAAUGUAUUUUGGAGGUGCGGAGUAGAUUUAGGCUUGAAUUGACAAAAUUUGAAUUUUGGCAUUUUCCGGUUGGUAGGUGAGAUUUUGGUACAGGAGGCGGAAUGGAAUUUUGGGAGUUGCAGUAGGUCCAUUGUUUCAUUUGGGAUGUGUGUGCAAAAUUUCAGGUCAUUCAGACGUGUUUUGAUAGACUUUUUUAUCGAAAGCGGAAUCUCGAAGAUUUUGGAAUUCUUAGACUUGAAUUCGAUGCAAAUUUGGUGUUUUGAUGUUGUUUUGAGCGUUCCGAAGGUGGGAAUAAGUUUGAAUGAUGUUAUGGGAUUGGUAGGCCUAUUUGGUUGAGGUCAUGAGGGCCUCGGGUGAGUUUCGGGUGGUUAAACGGAUCGUUUCAAGUUGAGAAAAUUGCAGAAAAUCUGUUGUUGGUGUUGCAGGCUUUUGGCCUUUGCUUCGCGAGUGGACCCUCGCAUUCGCAAAGGGAUAGGAUGUGAGGCGGGAGGUUUGGCCUUCGCGUUGGCGAGGGUAAUGCCACGUCCGCUAUGGUUUGAUUUGCUGAAACAUCGCGUUCGCGAAGGGUCGUCUCGUUCGCGUAAGAGGAUUUCUAGUCAACAUUAAGUUUGUGCUUCGCGAACGCGAGGCGUUGACCGAGUUCGCAAAGAAGGAUUUGAAGUGCUGGGCAGAAUGUUUAAAAGACCCAUUUCUGCGAUUUUGGGUCUAAGUUCCUCCAUUUUUGAGCGAUUUUGAAGCUUUUUGAAGGGGAUUGAAGAGGGAAUCAAGGGAGAACACUUGGAGGUACGAUCUAUGGACUUAAUACUCAAUCCUAAUUUAAUUUCUACCUAAUUAAUCAUAGAAUUUGUAGAAUUCAAGCCUAAAUAUUGAAGAACUAGGGCUUGUAAUUGGAGACCUAGAAUUUGGGAUUUUAGGGGUCGUUUGUGGUUGGAUUUUGGUGCUUUUGAUAUGAAUGAACUUGGGGAGUAAUAAGGAGUCUAUUGAUGUAAUUUUUUCGGAUUUCGAGAUGUGGGCCUGGAGUCGGGUUUGGCCAAUUUCGGAAUUUGUGUUGUAAUUUAAUUUUUUUCGAGUGGGCUUUGUUCUCAUAGCAUAUUUUGAUGGUUUUGCACUAAUUUUGGUUAGAUUUUGGAGCAUUCGGAGGCCGAUU